GAUGGAGUUUUAGUCUGGACAGGAUGGAGCUUCAGUCUGGACAGGAUGGAGCUUCAGUCUGGACAGGAUGGAGCUUCAGUCUGGACAGGAUGGAGCUUCAGUCUGGACAGGAUGGAGCUUCAGUCUGGACAGGAUGGAGCUUCAGUCUGGACAGGAUGGAGCCUAACUGUGGAAAACCAGAAACUGACUGAUACACACAUUACAAUGACAAAUCAAUGACCAGAUUGGCAACCAGCUCCAGCUACUCAGCAUCACUCUGACUAUUUGUGCUGGUUGGCUUCUGUCUCAGCUGUAGGGAGGACAUUGUGUUUUAAAGUCUUCUCUUUCUGUCCUGAAGUAGGUCUACCUGCUUAAUACACACAGACCUUCAUAUAGGUAAAGCAAAGGCUAUGACUUAACUCUACCUUCAUAUAUUGGGCUGCCUUUAUCACAAUAGUUUCACAGUUUUAAAAACGUGUGUUUUCAAAUGACUAUGCUACAUUGAUCUUUGGAUCACACUUGGAAUGUGAAAGGUUUCCUAGUGUUAGUUUUAGGUCUCCCUGAAGUCCGUAGACUUCCACUCUAUUAGUCACCCUAGAACACAGUCAACGAGCCUAACGGAGAUGUGUAUUCAUUAGGGAUAUACUGUAGCUAAAUGUUUAAUGGAGGGCUACGCAAGCGUUUCUUGGACCAAUUCAGAAAUUGGUACACAAGGAGGAGUAGCACUAGUAUUUUUAGGAUUAAGUGAAAAUAGGGAGACAAUGUAUUUGUAUUAAGGGUUUAGUCUUUGAAUCGUGGAUUUGUGCAGAUUCCCUUGGCCUUCCUUCCUGUUUAACUGUUGAUGUCUGGUCUUGCUGUAGAGACUGAAUACAGCAGGAUUAUUGCUGGACUUUUUUUGUUUUCUUAACUAUUUUACGACGUAUUCAUUGAUGAAACGAACUCCACUACAAAUACAAGCCUCUAUAGAAGAACCUCUGGUCCUUUUUUUUGUUGGAAAUAAAAAGACAAAAAAAAAGUCAGAUGUUUUAUUUUCUAAGAGUAUGUAGUAGUAGCAUUAGUGAAAUAACCUACUAUGAUGGAUCUUUUUUUUUUUUAAUUUUAUCAGUGGGCUAUUUUGUUUUUUUUUGUUCCUUUUUUUUUGUGGAAAGAUUCAGAGACUGUAUCCAGACCUGCCUUACUGUUACCAAUAUAUUCCUUUUUUUGUGGAAAGAUUCAGAGACUGUAUCCAGACCUGCCUUACUGUUACCCAUAUGUUCCUUUUUUGAACAGGGAGUUAUUCUACCGUAAACUAAGAUUAUUUUUACGUAUUUUUUUUUUUUAAGGAUACUUCCACUGACAUUCUUAGAGCUGUCAUUUUAUUGCGAGGAACUGCAGUUCGAUCGGAAUAGUUUUUCUGUUUUUGUCCUCUGUUUUGUGAGUGACCCUCUCACUCAGUCAACUCGUCUCAGUGCACAAGUCUCCCCUUCUCCAGACACCGCGUAUGAAUCAGAAUCCGUAGCUAGUUGUGACACGUGAGCCUCUGGAUGAAAAGCAGAGUAUCCCUAAAGCAGCGUGGUCAUAUCAGCCCCCCAUGUUGGACUAAACACUUUCAACUCUACACAAGUGAAAACCCCAAAUCCCUAAAGAUCCUCUAUUUGCCAUACCAGAGGGACAUGAUGUCUGACUCCUUCCUCAACAUGUGGACCUGCCCUGAGGAUGUUGGACAUCACUGUUACACCUUCAGCCUUGUUGAUAUCCUGUCAGACUGGUUGUUUUUUAACUCCAUUACACAGACGGACUGACCUGAACUUUUACCAGAACAGGAACACAAUGUUCAACAGACUCUCCUCACCAGUGGACUGACUACUGAGACUGGUCGUCUUUGAACUCAAGAGGAACACAAUGUUCAACAGACUCUCCUCACCAGUGGACUGACUACUGAGACUGGUUGUGAGGUCACAGGAAAUAGAGUGAUCUGUUAGGAGGGAUGCAGCAUUGUAAUCCUGAUUUAGAUGAUGGUUAUAAGGAGAGUUCAGGUCGUAACCAGUCCACUGAGAUGAAUGUAGAUGGCUACACCCUGGCCAAUAUAAAAGGCUUUGGAGAGGUAAUGUAAAGUGUCCAAGGUGGUAAAAUAAUCCCUGAUUGUAUUAAAUAAUGUAUUACAUUCCCUUCAUUACAUUUCCUACAUCACAUUUUGGAAAUACAAUGGUCAUUAAAAAAUAAAAUUAAAAAAUCUGCAUUUACACUGUU